AUCAAUAGAUGAAGACUUCUCCUUUUUGAAAAUCUUAACACCAGCCCAUCUCCAGUCCUGUAGCAACUCUUUGAUUCCGCAAAAAUCCUGAAGUAUCAACAACACUUGAGCAAUAACAUCCACAGAUUCUUCUUUCAUUCUCCUGGGAUGGAAUUCAUCCAGAACUUGGUCCCUUUUCAAUCUAAGCUCAUGAAUGUGUCAUGUGCAGCUGUCAUAUGGAAGAGUGAUUACUCUGGAGCCAAGCGGCCGGAACUGUCUCUGAACCAUUGUACAGAUGUCUUCACGGUCCCUCCCUCAAGAUUGUCAUGGAGAAUAGUAGGCUUAUGAAUUAAGGGCCUUCUGUAUGCAGCAAUAACGAUGCUGAUGUUGCAAGUGAAAGAUGCGAAUACUACCCUGUCUAGAAAUCUCUUCAACAACAUUCCCUCACAACGAGUCAUCAGUUAGGGACUGUCUUCACUGUGGUGAGUGGAAACAGAGCACAACUUUCCCACAACUACUCCAAUAAGGAAUUUUUUUUAAAAGAAUACUGGAAAGAGAAAUGAUAAAGAAGAAAUUAAAGAAGAAACUGCAUUGUGUCUUUUUCCAGCCCAGAUCCACACAAAGAGAUUGCCAGAAGCCUGUGAGUAUCCCUGUUCACCUAUUGUUGGUCCAGCCAGAAAAGCUCAACCGGGUAACAGUGCAUGAAAGCCCUUCAGCAUAGACCAGGAGUAAGGCAGGGGAAACAUUAAAGGCUGAAAAUGUGAACCUGGGACAGAGAGGCAGGAAUUUAGAGAAGCAUCUAGCCAAGAAUACUGGAAUUUUCCACUGUUGCUCUGAUCAUAGUCUGGAGUUCAGAAGCUUGAGUACUUGGGCCUGGAUGGCAACACUCUAGGACUUCCCUGGAUCAGAUUGUCCCAAUACAGUACGCUGGCAAUUGGCUCCUUGAGGUCCCAGAAGGACAAAGUACUCAUUGCAGGCCUCAGAUAAAUGCCAUGCUAUUUAUAUAAGCAAAACCUAAAAGACAACUAUAGAUUUGCCAUAAGCUCUACUAUAUUCCCAGAAAAAAAAAUGAAGAAGUUUAAAGUGAUCAAAUAAAAUGAUAGCUUUAGUGGAAAGAAGUAUAAAGGAAAUGAGAUCUAGAAGAAAGAAGUAGAAAGAAAAUAAACAGCUUAAUGCAGGAAGUGUAAACCUUACUUAAGUAACAGACCCCUUGGAAAUCAGAAUGGAUCAAUAUCAAUGACUC